GACGAACGCUGGCGGCGCGCUUAACACAUGCAAGUCGAGCGAAGCGGCGGACGGGUGAGUAACCCGUGAGUAACCUGCCUUAGACAUUGGGAUAGCCUCGGGAAACCGGGAUUAAUACCAAAUGGUCUAAGAUGGACUCGCGUGCCAUUAGCUAGUUGGUGAGGUAACGGCCCACCAAGGCGACGAUGGGUAGCCGGCCUGAGAGAGGGAACGGCCACAGGGGAGCUGUGAAACGGUGGAAAAGGUACGAGAGGAAACAGAGGGGGAUAUUGCACAAUGGGGGGAGCGCUGAAGCAGCGACGCCGCGAGAGCGAGGAAGUCUGUCGAGUCGUAAAGUUCUUUUAUAUAAGAAGCGGUACCAUAAGAAAAAGCCCCGGCUAACUACGUGCCAGCAGCCGCGGUAAUAC
rnacentral:rRNA from 1 species